GCCAUUACAUAAGUACAAUUGGAAUUUUUGACUGCUACAACCCGAGGACUCUGCACAGCCAGGCAGAGAAGUAUACUUUCACUCCCAGUCUGCUGCUUUCCAUCAACCAGGAUCUAGUGUUCACCAUUUAUUUCUCAUGCGCAUGAAUGCAGCAAAUUUAGUGAAAAAGCUAUCUAAUUGAAUUGCGAGGCUAUCCCCAAUAGGACUCAAUUAUAUCACACUAAAUACAAGAAAAACAAUGCUUAUAAAGGGCAUAAGCGAGGUAGUAAAAUAAUGCACAAAAUGAAGAUCAGGAAAAAAGGAAACACAAAGCAAUUAAAAAAACAUCCAGGUUUCUGUACGUAUUGCUUUCGAGCAAAAUUUCAUAUCUGUGAUUCUUAAACAUCACGAUCUCCUCCCAUUUAAAAUAGUAUCAUUAUCUGCAGUCAGCAUGACUGACGAGCAAGUCACAAAUGCUUGUGAAACUAUGGACACAUUCAAUAACCCCUCACCAGUAGAUGUGUUCCAAAAGGGUUCUGGCCUAUGUUGCUCAGGCUCUGCAAAAAUGGCGCCAGCAGCAACAUUUUUGGAUAGCUGGCACAACAUAGGUUCUGGUCUGCUUACAAAGAUGCCUU
rnacentral:lncRNA from 1 species